rnacentral:rRNA from 1 species
UACAGAGGUGGCAAGCGUUGUUCGGAAUUACUGGGCGUAAAGGGCGCGUAGGCGGCCUGCUAAGUCGAACGUGAAAUCCCCGAGCUCAACUCGGGAACUGCGUCCGAUACUGGCAGGCUUGAAUCCGGGAGAGGGAUGCGGAAUUCCAGGUGUAGCGGUGAAAUGCGUAGAUAUCUGGAGGAACACCGGUGGCGAAGGCGGCAUCCUGGACCGGCAUUGACGCUGAGGCGCGAAAGCCAGGGGAGCAAACGGG